rfam:Otolemur garnettii contig135118, whole genome shotgun sequence.
GCCGGGCGUUGUGGCGGGCGCCUGUGUUCCCAGCUACUUGGGAGGCGGAGGCAGGAGACUCGCUUGAGCCCAGGAGUUGGAGGUUGCUGUGAGCUGUGAUGCCACGUCACUCUACCCAGGGGGACAGCUUGAGGCUCUGUCUCAAAAAAAAAAAAAAAAAAAGAAACAGAGUUUCAUUUUAUCCCCCUUGGUAGAGUGCCAUGGCAUCACACAACUGACAGCAACCUCCAACUCCUGGGCCUAGGCGAUUCUCUUGCCUCUG